UACGGGGGGGGCAAGCGUUGUUCGGAAUCACUGGGCGUAAAGCGCACGUAGGCGGAUUUGUCAGUCAGGGGUGAAAUCCCGGGGCUCAACCUCGGAACUGCCUUUGAUACAGCAAGUCUUGAGUUCGAGAGAGGUGGGUGGAAUUCCUAGUGUAGAGGUGAAAUUCGUAGAUAUUAGGAAGAACACCGGUGGCGAAGGCGGCCCACUGGCUCGAUACUGACGCUGAGGUGCGAAAGCGUGGGGAGCAAACAGG
rnacentral:rRNA from 1 species